GCAUAUCAAUAAGCGGAGGAAAAGAAACCAACAGGGAUUGCCCUAGUAACGGCGAGUGAAGCGGCAACAGCUCAAAUUUGAAAUCUGGCUCUCUUUGGGGGUCCGAGUUGUAAUUUGCAGAGGAUGCUUUGGCAUUGGCGGCGGUCUAAGUUCCUUGGAACAGGACAUCACAGAGGGUGAGAAUCCCGUACGUGGUCGCCUGCCUUUGCCGUGUAAAGCUCCUUCGACGAGUCGAGUUGUUUGGGAAUGCAGCUCUAAAUGGGAGGUAAAUUUCUUCUAAAGCUAAAUACUGGCCAGAGACCGAUAGCGCACAAGUAGAGUGAUCGAAAGAUGAAAAGUACUUUGGAAAGAGAGUCAAAAAGCACGUGAAAUUGUUGAAAGGGAAGCGCUUGCAGCCAGACUUGCCCGCAGUUGCUCACCUAGGCUUUGGCCUGGGGCACUCUUCUGCGGGCAGGCCAGCAUCAGUUUGGGCGGUUGGAUAAAGGCCUCUGUCACGUAUCUCCCUUCGGGGUGACCUUAUAGGGGAGGCGCAAUGCAACCAGCCCGGACUGAGGUCCGCGCAUCUGCUAGGAUGCUGGCGUAAUGGCUGUAAGCGGCCCGUCUUGAAACACGGACCAAGGAGUCUAACAUCUAUGCGAGUGUUUGGGUGUCAAGCCCGAGCGCGCAAUGAAAGUGAACGGAGGUGGGAACCCUUUGGGUGCACCAUCGACCGAUCCUGAUGUCUUCGGAUGGAUUUGAGUAAGAGCAUAGCUGUUGGGACCCGAAAGAUGGUGAACUAUGCUUGAAUAGGGUGAAGCCAGAGGAAACUCUGGUGGAGGCUCGCAGCGGUUCUGACGUGCAAAUCGAUCGUCAAAUUUGGGCAUAGGGGCGAAAGACUAAUCGAACCAUCUAGUAGCUGGUUCCUGCCGA
rnacentral:rRNA from 2 species